rnacentral:rRNA from 1 species
UACAGAGGGUGCAAGCGUUAAUCGGAAUUACUGGGCGUAAAGCGUGCGUAGACGGUUGCGUAAGUCAGAUGUGAAAGCCCCGGGCUCAACCUGGGAAUUGCAUUUGAGACUGCGUAGCUAGGGUGCGGAAGAGGGAAGCGGAAUUUCCGGUGUAGCGGUGAAAUGCGUAGAUAUCGGAAGGAACACCAGUGGCGAAGGCGGCGCUCUGGACCGAGACUGACGCUGAGGCGCUAAAGCGUGGGGAGCAAACAGG